UACGAAGGGGGCUAGCGUUGUUCGGAAUUACUGGGCGUAAAGCGCACGUAGGCGGACUACUAAGUCAGGGGUGAAAUCCCGGGGCUCAACCCCGGAACUGCCUUUGAUACUGAUAGUCUCGAGUCCGGAAGAGGUGAGUGGAAUUCCGAGUGUAGAGGUGAAAUUCGUAGAUAUUCGGAGGAACACCAGUGGCGAAGGCGGCUCACUGGUCCGGUACUGACGCUGAGGAGCGAAAGCGUGGGUAGCAAACAGG
rnacentral:rRNA from 1 species